ACAUUUAUAUUGCACAAUCUCUAGAAUCUCUAUACUUGAUGAAAAGCAUGAAGGAGUACAGUGGCAAGGUGGGUGUCUAAUUCCAGAUCUAAACUGCACUUUUUCCUGAUGUUUUUCAUUAUUUCUGUAAAGAAGAAGGAGUUUAGAAGGAUCAAAAGCUCUGAGCUGCUUUGAGAAUGACAUUCUGGAGUCCUUCAUCCUGAAAGAUGCCACAUUGGGAUAAACAACCUCAAGGGCUAGGACACUGGCACAGAAAAGCAGAUAAUAUCACUGGCUGUGAAGAAAAAGUGUGGCUGUAUGGCAGCCCCAAUAAAUGAGAGCAAAUGAAAGUGAAGUAAUCAAUUCAAUAAAAGUAUGCUUGUGUGCUGUUGUACAAAAUUGACACUUUUAUUUUUGUAUUUGUAGUUAAACGUGCACUCUUCCUCCAGCUCCUUUCUAUCUUAUUUAUUCAGACUGUAUACUCUUUUGGAAAGGUCAGUCUAGUAUUAGGACUAUGCAUUGGAUCCUGGAGCUAUCAUAGAGCAAAUGUUUAAAAUUGAGUCUUUGAAUAACAGAUUGAAUAAACACAGGGAUAGAGAUUUAUAGCUGCUGGUGGAGUGUGGAAUUUCUAAAACUGCACUACAUAAAAAGGAGGGAAAUUAAGGAGAAUUUAGCAACUGACAAAAUACAUGUCCUCUAAGUCAUUGAUGUCACAGACCACAAGUGUAUUCAAAGAACAUUAACAACAAAAAAAAUCAUACAGAAAUUGAGAUUGAGAUUGUCAGAACUGGGUAUUUCCUCUGGACCACAUGUGUUAUUUUUUCUUAAAGAGGUCUUACUUGUGAAUAUAAAACCAAAUGAAAUCCCCACCAACCAAACAACAACAAUAAGAUCAUGAUAACAAAGCAGGAUUUCAAAUUUCUCCUUUGUAAUAUUUAUUAUAUUCCAAAUCUAUUGCAAGAUAAACCAUCACACAUACAUACAUGUAUAUAUACUAUAUAUACUAUAUAGACACUUAUUUGCAAAAAAUAGGGCUAUCCUAUAACAACCAGUGAGUAAAGCAAACCACAGUAACAUCCAAUAGCAUUAAUUUCAGUGAUAGCACAUCUGCACUAAAAGCAGCUUUCUCUCUUCGCAGUGUAUGCUUUCCAAGCAAGAUCAAGAAAGGAUUCUGAUGGUUUUAACUCUAUCCUAAAGCAAGAUGAUCACUAAAUCAGAUAAACUAUUAAUCUGUUUAAAGCUUGUUACUCCUGUUUUGCCAAGGCUGAGAUGCUUUGCAGCAAAAAAAACCAGCCAGGACUCUGCCUGCCAAGAAUCAGACAUCUCAUGCAUGUUUCAUAAAUGUUUCUCCACUGAAAACUCAAGGAUUAAGCAAACACUGGUUCAGUUUGCAAAAGGUUCCACUAAUGAUUUUAAAUAACUCAGAAAGAAAUCUUGGCCCCAUUUAAAGCAACAGUAAAUUUUUCCUCUAUCUUUUAGCCUCAAUACAAGCCCUCUAAAAUUUAUAUGUCAUCCCAGUGCACUGAAUAUGCUGAUAACUAUUUUUGCUACACUUGUUAAACUCCUAAAUAUCUCGAUAUAUGGCUUUUUACUGUUAAGUAAAAUCUCCUUAAAAUUUGUAUAGAUUAAUCCAUACUUAUCCCUGCAUUGACUGUUCAUAGAAAAUACUCACUUUUAGAAACUAAGGUUUCAUAACAAAGCUUUGCCAUUUAUAACAUAACACCACCACACCCUAAAAUAUUGUGUGAAAUAGAUGAGCUCUCAAGUAAGCACCUUUUAUAGCAAGAUGAAAAAUAUUUUGACAGCAUAGCAACAUUGUGUCUAAAAGAAUGUUGCUAAAGAGUCCUCCUUUACUUAGAAAAUCAUAAGCUUGAUGCAGAGUGGAUAAAUAAUAAUAAACAUCAAGAUUUGCUUUCCAAGUAUGUUGGAAUACCAACAUGGAAUAUUAAAACACACUAAGAAAUGGGCUUACCGCCUGAUAUGCAUUAUGAUCAUAAUCACUGUCAUUGUACCUCACACACCUCACACAACUGGGAACUCAGUGGGGAGAAGAUGAAGAGAAAUUUUCCUUUCCAGGCAAUAAAAUGGCAAGAGAGCUGCUGACAAACAGCCACUGGGUGACUGCAGUAGCCUCUGCUGCUCUAAUGAGGCACAGAUGUAGGUGCAGCUGGAAAGGCUUGAAGGGCUGGCGCAGCGCAGCGCUCAGUGGACCACGUCCAGCCCCAGCCACACAGAGCUCACAGGAGAAAUCCUGCCUUCUGCUUCCCCAACGUGAGGGACUCUCCCUUAACUGGUGACCCUGUGGAGAUUCAGCUGCAAAAGCACACAGCAUGCUCAUGAAGUAGAGAAGAUCACAUGCCAUUUAACUAUCACAGGAUAUUUAAGCUCCGUAGUGGCUGUGUGAAUGUCACCAUAUUGCUGUGGAACAUAUCACCUGAAGGGAAAAUAUUAAAAAGCAUUUCAUGUGUGUGUACUGUACUGAACUAUCUGUAUGUAAGUGCACUGUGUGUAUACAUGUGCACACUUUGGUAGAAAGUACUUUAUACUCACAGGUGUACAAUAAAAGAAUGUAAUUAAUGCUCUUUGUGCUGUUUGCAUUUUGCAGUUUGCAAGCACAAAACCACAGAAUUCCCAUGGUCCUUUUUUCAUUAAAUGAUCUAAAUCUCUCAGCCUUGCUCUUUAAAAUCACAAAGUAUGUUCCAGACCACAUAAAUUCACAAGACAGAGGGCAGUGCUGCACUGCAGUAAUUGGGUCUCAGAAAGCCUGGACACCAGAAGCCGUGGCCUCGUGGCAGCGUGAGGUACCUCUGCUAGCUUGAACAGAUGCUGUGUGCUAUGGUCGUGGCUGGACUGCUACGAGUGUGAAAAAACAGGCUUGUUUGCCCAAAGUCACACUGCUGUGGGGCACAAGACUUAGCUGAACAAGUUUCCUUAAGGCUCAGGGCGUACUUGAAAGCAAGCCAUGUGGUCCUUUAGCUGACAGCAUUAGCCAGAACAUCCAAGUACACCUCUCACUAGAAAUCAGAAGUUAAUUUUUCUUCUCUGUUGGAAGUUGCAUGCAUUAAUUAGUCCUAAGAAAAUUAAUAUAGUCAAGAUUGCUUAAAAAAAUGCAAGGUUUAUUUGGCUUAGGAAACAGAGAUAAAAUGCAAAAUAGUAUGCAUUCUACAGAACUAAAGUCACUGAGUCAAAAAAUUGUGUAGCAACUGAACUUGCUAACGUUAAAUGUGUUUGUGUGCAUGUACAAAAUAGUAAAUAUAUGAAGUAGCUCUAAGAGUCCUCUCUGAUACCUUGGAUUUGUAAAGCAGCUUUUUUGAGCACCCUCUUCCUCUCAUGGUUUAACCCCAGCCAGCAACCAAGUCUCACACAACUCUCUCGUUUUCCCUUGGUGGGAUGGGGGAGAGAAUCAGAAGAGUAAAAACAGAAAAACGCAUGGGUUGAGAUACACACAGCGUACUAGGUAGAACAGAAGUCACAAAGAAGGAAAUCAUACACUGCUUCUUUGGGCAGGUAGGUAUUCAACCAUGCCAUGAAAGCAGGGCUCCAGCACACCAAACCAUUUCUUGGGAAGAUAAACACUGUCACUGCAAACAUCCCACUCCUUCUUGCUUCUUCCCAAGCUUCCUUUUAUCAACAUUGUUUUCACACAGACACAACACAAAGCUUCAUACUAGCUGCUGUGAAGAAAAUUGACUGUAUCCCCACCAAACUACACCGAAAAUCCAGUCCUAAAGGGAAAUGCUGAUCUCAUUGUAAGCAAUCAAAAAAUUUAAUUUGAUUACAGUGACAUGAAAAUACUACCAUGGACAUUCCUUCCUUCUUCAUGGAACAUAAAAUACUUGACAGGCUCUUAAUACAAACUCUGCUUUAGCUGAUGGGGAACUCUCUUUUAAUUUCAACAGGUACCUCGUACAAUAAUAUAAAACCUGGUUUGAGACAAGGAACACCAUAUGUGUCCCUUCUGGAUCUACAAAGAUCUCUACUUGGUAAUAACAGUCAUUCAGUAGAAAACAAAACAAUACAGAAUACAAACACCUUUGUGAUCUUUACAGUUGCAUUUUUAAGUUAAAUAUUUACUAUAUUCUUUCUGUUUAUGGCACUAAAUUUAUUUGGUUUUAUGCUACCAAAUAACAUACUCAUACAAUCUUGAAAGAGGUAACAAUAUUUUAUCAAUUUUAUAUACAGUGGUAUUGUUCUGCCCAGGAUAUGAGAUCUCCUUUUUCAGAGAGAUCAGGCUUCCAUCAUAUCAUCCAUUUGUUGGUAAAUAUUUUGAUGUCAAGCGCGGUCUCUAUUGCAAAUUCUAAAAGGUUUUACUUGGAUCACUUAACUUUUCUGCUUACUCAGAAACCUGUGACACAGCUGUAAUGAGAUGUUGAUGGGGAAAGGUGCUAUUUCUUUUUAAUGCAAAAGUAGCCAGUGAUUCCAGCAUGUCAGGAUACAGCAUAGCCUCACAGAAACAGCAUAGCCUCACAGAAGGAAAGCUCCUGACAAGAGGAAGAUAUAUGAGUGAAGAGGAUUUCUCAGGCUAGUAAGCAGAAACCCUGGCUGUCUAGCUGAGGAGAGGAUGAGAGAAUAAGACUGAAGACAAGAAAAAUGGAUACCUUAAUCAACAUACCUACACACAUUUAUAUACUGCUUUUCUCAUUUUCUAUAAAUGCAACACACAAACAAAAAAAUCCAUCCAAUUUUCUAUGUCAGAAUUCAUGUACGAAAACAUUUCCCUGUGACAAUAAUUUGUAAUGCAGAAAUUCAUUAUAUUUCCACUGCACAUUUACAUCCUCUGCUUUCCUAUGCCUGAGUGAGUAGGCUGCUUGUUUCUGUCUCUCCAUUCUCCUUGCUUUGGAUGUAACAAAUCUCCCUUUCUGGGGUCUCCAAAAGCUCAUUCUUCUUCCACAUAAAAGCUCUCUGUAAUGACUGAGAAACAGUAAAACACAUCCAAAUAGAAUUUCAGAUAUACUACCGGACUGUUUGUUUUGCAUUUGAUGUGCACACAGGUAGAUAAUGGAAUAUUAAGCUUCAUUCAGAAGAGCUCUGCUGUUCUUGAAGCAGACUGUUUAAGCUCCAUGAGCCAGUAAAUGCAUCUACAUGACUCAUUUGACCGCUGGGGCAAGCACCUACACUUCAGGAUUAGGAGGUCUACUGCUAUGUACAAUACAAAUCAUGUCUACUGCCUGACCACUGCAUACUGGGCUCUGUGGUGGAAAUAGUUAUUUGGCAAAAUGCUCUUAAUUUGAAGAUCUCAUUUUAACUUUGCCUAUAGUUCUCUAUGCAUCAUCAGCCCAAGAAAAGGUUAAUAAAUUGUAGAAUUUGUAAAAACUCAACUAAUCUUCUCUCCAGCUACCAGGCCAGCUGUGAAAGAUUUGCUUUGAUAUGGGAAAUAGGAAAAGCUUGAGUCACCUUUCUUAUCCUCACUCUGUAAACACUGCUUGGCAGUCUAGAUCACAUUUAAGUACUCAGCUGUUGUAGUUUGGGCCAUUAGUCAACUCCUGACCUUAUUCCUCUCUGCCAGGGAUUGACAAAAGCAAACAAUUGCCAGGGACCUGGAUAAAAAGCAGGUCAGGUAGUCAUUCUUCACAAUCAAUCCAUCCAUCUGUGAAAAAGAGGACUUUCAUAUUUAGGUGUUAUGCCACCAGCAUAAAAUGUCUCCUGGAAAUUUUGCCUCUCCUCAUUUUGGGGAGAGUCAUACCCAACUGCCUACUUUGCUACACUUCAUUACAGGAAAAGUGAUGGGGUAUUUCUUCCAAUGCUUUGAGUAGCAAUCUGCUGAAAAACUCUUUCUGGUGAUGCAGGUUUUAAUUUUUGAUACAAAAAAUUAAAAUUAAAUUUAAGAUGAAAGAGCUUCUGAAACCCUUUUCUAUUUGAAAGCAUAAGACAAGUUUUGUUCAGAAACAAUAACAUAGGGUGAGACAUAAAAUACUACGAUCUAAAACUAAUAUAAAUGGUUACUGAGAAUUAAGUCACAAAGAGAAAGCAUAAAUUAAAAUACAUAUGGCUCAGACACAGUUCACACGUUUACUUUAUAUUGUUGGAAUAUUUUAGAAACUGUGCUUCUAUGGGGCACUGCAGAAAGAAAAAAAUGCUAUUUUCAAAAUUACCCAUAAAAUUGUUUUUAUUUUUAUUUCACACUAUGGCACUAACACAAACUUGUCAGUGGUAAUCUAAAUUCAGAAUACAGUGCACCAGACCUUCUUCUGCAGUUAUUCUGCUACUGCUUUUUUAUUUUGUGCAGUAAUUUAAACCCAUUGGAAUAUCACACUGUUGUCUUUACUCUCAAUCUAAUUCUCACUGCAUCCUAAUAGGCCAAGCUGUCAUGGCAGGCGUAAUAAACAACUUCUGCAUUGUCAAAUAUAUGCAGAAAUUGAAGGACAUAAACUAAGAAAGCUCCUGCACUAAAUCUAAGAACUAACUGUAAUUGAUGUAAAACCUGAUGCAUCUCCAUCCAUCUAUUCCAGCAUGUCUGUUGCUGGUUUUUUUCCUCCUGUAAUACUUCCUGAACUUACCUAAGCUUUUAUAAAGGGUUAGGAGAGAGAUUACUUUCAUAUGAAAAAAAAAGAGCUUCAAUGAUCCAUGGUCAUUUCAAGCACAUUUUCUUUAUUGCUGGACUGAAAUUUCCUCCCCUAAGCUUCCAAAAAAGCUAGGAAGUUAAAUUUGUUUGACACAACAUGAAGAUAAGAACUUCUGAAACAAAUUAUCCCCUUAACAUUCUAAGAAAAUCCUAGAGACUAUCAUGAAGUGUAAGUGGAACUAGAGCAGGAAGUUUGAAACUGGGAUGAAAUUCUGCUUUCUUCGUGUUAAUAAUGAGUUCUGCUAUCUCCCUGCUCUCAGUGUAGGAAAAAAAAAAAAGCUAUCAGUACUGAGGAAAUCUUAUUAGAUUCAACCCUAUUUUUAAACAGCUGGGAUCAAAAUCUUCAUUCAGACACACUAGUGCCACUCCAUUAAAUUCCAGCAGUGGCACCACUGGUAGAAAAAGAAUGGCACUCAGAUUUUUCACCAUUAAGUAAUCUGUUUUCAUUACCUUCUCAGCAGUUUGUUUCAUUUGCCUGCAGUAGAGAAACUAAAAUUAGAAAACAUUUCAUGUUCAUAGUUAGUUUGCUUCCAAUGUGAAAAAAAAACCAAGUCUAUAAAUUUGUCUAUUGGAUUAUGGCUUGUGCAGUUCUCUUGUAAAGUUGUCUUUACAUUAUAGUGAUGAACAGUAAAUGGUGUAGUGCAUUAUUUUGUCCAAAGUAAUUCAAAUUAAUGACCCUAGAAAUAUUAUUUUAGGUGCUGUUAUAAAGCAUUGACAAUACCCAUGAAUAUUACCAGCAGAAUUUCUUUUCUUUGUAAUGUAUGCAUUGCUAUGUGUUAAUAAACUAUUUUCUAAUCAUCUUCAGAACUUGCUGUCUCUUGCAGGAGUUCCACUUGCCAGUCUUGUGUCAAUUCUAGUAGCAAAUUAAUGUCAGGUAAAUGCUGAUAGCAAACUAUCAAGAGUUUGAAUACAUUUUUCUUGCCUUUACUUGCAUACUCAUGUUCACAUCUCACCUCACCUAAAGCACCACUGAUUCUGACUGAAAAUAGAAAAAAAAUUGAAGUGUGGUAAUCUCUUAGGUAAUCUAGCCACCUUGUAACUGUGAGAAUUAUGUUAGCUUAGAUUAAUUUAAAUGAAACUUUCAAAAAGGAGAAUAACAAAAAAAAAAGUGAAUUGUUUUUUUGGUUCAGAUAAACAUUACUCUGGAUGCUAAAAAUGGAUUUGCUUCUCAAGAAGGGAAGAGGUGUGUAUCUUCCUGCACUGUACUGGCUCAUGUGAUCCUUACUAAGAAAGUGUUAAGCCUUACCAACCACAAAUAGUAGCACUUUGAAAUUAUUGAAAAAAAAGACUCCACAGAUUUCUUCCAAACCACACAGUACCAGAAUUAGCACACAUUUGGGAAAUAUGCCAUCAUAGCAGUGUACAGAGACACUCUUAAGAAGCUUAAAGAUCAGAGGACAUGAAAUGAUUUGAGCUUCACAGAAACUUCUCUUGACUAAAUGUCAAGAUCACUUCCAAGAAAAUGCUAAUGGAUCACAAUAGCAUGAAGUCAACCAGCUUCUGGAUUUCAAAAGAGAGGACUGAAGAGUAAGGUUUCUAUUAAGUAAUAUUAAAAAAAAAACCCACUGUGGCAAUGAUGCUAGUGAACAUCUGUUUUCUGUAGUUGUCACAGACCUGUUGUGCUUCACUUUGUCCUGAAGAAAUGGUUCUGCAGCUCAUUAAGUUGCAUCCAUAAUGAGGCUGGCCAGUCAGUAGAAACAAUAACUUUGUCUGCACUUGCACAUGUCUAUUUUUUUUGUCAAUUAGUUCAUUCAAAAUUUCUUAAAUUCCUGUAAUAACUUCUCAAUCUCUCUUCCUGACAAAUUUUUACAAGUGAAUGAGCAUUAAACAUACAUUUCUUUAUUUUAAAGGUUGUUCAAUAGUCACAACCAAACCAACUUUAAAGUAAAGCAGAGAUUGAAAACAGAUCUGAAAUGUAUUCCUCAGAUCACAUUUGCCUAUAAACCCCAUAAAAAGUUAAAUUAUUCUUUUAAUACCAGGCACACCCUAAUUUUUUAGAGGCAGCUAGAUAUUUUAUACCCACAACGAGCUUUCCUUACUGCAGGCAAAUAAAAAUUUUUUCAACAUGCUGUAUGGAGUAUGUGCUCAUGUGCCAGAACUACAGAAAUCUGUAACUCUUUCUAUCCUAGAUGGGCAGAAUGAAUUUCAGAUUUAAUCACCCUGAUGCAUAAUCAGGACCACUGAUAAGGAGACACAGAAUAACUGUUAACAGAAAUCUGAUGCAUGCACAAAGCUGUAGCAUGCACAAUGCUUUAGUACAAAAGUAAGAGAUGAAUCUUCUGUAUGUGGCUUAUGAAAAAGACAUGAAGACCAGGUCCAUACUGACCAUUCCAAAAAUGUGCCACAAAUGGAAACUGAGUGGCUGUGUCCAUCUCAGUUGAAACCCAAGACAGCAGAAUAUCAGCCUCUUUCAGAUAACACAUCUGCUUAAACAAAAUGAUAAGCCACAGCAUUUAUGAAGAAUUCCAUUUUUUCUACUAAUGAUGGGAUUUGUUUCAUACAAGUUAAUAGCCAAAGCUAAAUAUGAGAUGGACUCCUAAGAAUUCAAAAUGCAGUCACUUCUUCAUGUUGUCUUCAGGGAAUGCCAUCUUUGGCUUCCUGAAGAAAGAGGUACAUGAUGGUUUUAAAGAAGCAGCUCUAAAGAUCCUUGAAUAUUUUAAUACAGAUAAAAUACUGCCCAGCUGCAAAGCCGUCUUUCAACAGUACCCUACAAAAACGCAAAGAAAUAUACACAAAGAAAGAAAAAGAGAGA